CCUGUACAAGAGAACCACUGUCCUCUUGUGCUUUGCCAAUAUGGGCUUUAGUUUAGCAAUUCAGGCCGAGCCCUGUCCAAUGGUCUGGCACCAUCAGGAAAUACUUGUCCAUAGCUUCACAAAACCUGGUCCGGUAGAGCUCUGGAGAGACCACAGUUGGCAUCUUACCUUGACCUCCCAAGAUGCCAGUUGACUUCACCACCAUUUCAAGCUUUUUGUCCCAGGUAAAAGUGCGAAUAUAGUCAAUGAUCCCAACAACCAGCUCAUUGCUUGUAUCAUCUCG
rnacentral:lncRNA from 1 species